UAGCCAUGGGCAGGUUGAAGGUUGGGUAACACUAACUGGAGGACCGAACCGACUAAUGUUGAAAAAUUAGCGGAUGACUUGUGGCUGGGGGUGAAAGGCCAAUCAAACCGGGAGAUAGCUGGUUCUCCCCGAAAGCUAUUUAGGUAGCGCCUCGUGAAUUCAUCUCCGGGGGUAGAGCACUGUUUCGGCAAGGGGGUCAUCCCGACUUACCAACCCGAUGCAAACUGCGAAUACCGGAGAAUGUUAUCACGGGAGACACACGGCGGGUGCUAACGUCCGUCGUGAAGAGGGAAACAACCCAGACCGCCAGCUAAGGUCCCAAAGUCAUGGUUAAGUGGGAAACGAUGUGGGAAGGCCCAGACAGCCAGGAUGUUGGCUUAGAAGCAGCCAUCAUUUAAAGAAAGCGUAAUAGCUCACUGGUCGAGUCGGCCUGCGCGGAAGAUGUAACGGGGCUAAACCAUGCACCGAAGCUGCGGCAGCGACGCUUAUGCGUUGUUGGGUAGGGGAGCGU
rnacentral:rRNA from 1 species